GUGCUUCCUUGGCAGCACAUAUACUAAAUUUAGAACAAUACAGAGAAGAUUAGCAUGGCCCCUGUGCAAGGAUGACACGCAAAUUCGUGAGUUCCAAGAAAGCAGG